AGAGCCUGAGCGGUUGUUUGCAGCCAAAGGAAAGAUUUUUGAAGAAACGAGAGAGACGGUGCCCGUGGAAAGAACGUGGAGGCUGGAGGUCGUGUUUUGUGCACAGAGCCAGGGGGUCGCAGAACACCGGCACAGGAUGAGAGAGAGCAGCAGAGAGCAGGGACAUUUCCCCAACUGCAUCAAGAUGUUAGGCUUUCACAAUGAGUCAUCCCUUUACCAAAUAUCCCCUGAUACACUUCUGCUCCCCUGUUCAGUCUCCCACUCGGAGGGUCUCAGGCUACAUCUCUUCUCACACUCUCGUCCACGAUGAAGCCAGACUGUUAUUUUGUUUUUACUUUCCUGUUCAGUCUCUCCUUCCUUUCUCCCGUCUGUCCCAUAAACUGCAAUAAAACACAAUAUGCCUGGCCAAUGGACGGACCCCAGCUGUGCUGUGACAAGUGCCCUCCAGGGAAACAUAUGGUGCGGCGUCCAGAUCGCACUUGUGGAAUUGAGUGUCAGUCCUGCACUGGUCGCCGGUACACGGAUGCUCCCAACGAGGAGCUGGGCUGCGAAUUUUGCGAAAACUGCGAUAAACCACACAUGGAGUAUCACUCGGAAUGUAGCAGCACUCGUAACGCUGUUUGCAGAUGUGAAGCUGGCUACAGAUGCCAAGACGAUCCCUGCAAACAGUGUGUGCCGAUACCAUCCACCACUACCACCAAACCCACACUCCCUCCAUCCACUACAGGAGCCAUCCCCACUCUCCGGACAACUUCUCAACCAAUCAAAGAGACGGCGUGGUUCGUAGUAAUAAUCGCCCUCCUGUGUGCAGGGAUCACGCUUGCUGCUGUUGCAAAAAUCAAGCCCUUUAUGCUGUGGAUCAAAUCCAAACACGGCUACAUGUUGGCUAAAGAUCCCCAACCAGCAUCACCAUGCUCCGAGGAUGAGCAAGUAUCAACCCCCAUUCAGGAAGUUCUUGGGAAAUGUGAAGUAUGAGUUGAAGAGCCUGAACUUGAUGAGCACAUUAUUAUUAUAUGGGCAACGUGGCGACGGGGUAGAAAGGGUGCGCCGGGAACCACAAGGUUGGUGGUGUGAGUCCCUGAGCAAGACACCUAACUGCUAAUGUAAUGCAAGUUGCUUUGGAUAAAAGCGUCAGCUACAUGAUGUAAUGAGCAGGGAUUUGACAUUUAGUGCAAAACAUUUCUGUUGCUUUUGGACACUGAUGACAAAUGGGGGCAAACAGACACUGCAGUGAUUGUACAUACGCUUUAGGUUGUGCAGUAUGUUGUCCAAAGGCAGGUAUGUACUAUUGUACAUGACAGAUAUUUCACAUCUUCGUUUAGGUGUUUUUGUGUAUAUACACUUUUCAGAUAAUACAUCAAAUGUAAAUGUUUUUAACAUGAAUUUCUACUUUCUUUAUUGUGGAUAUAAUAGUUGUAAAGUGCCUCAUAUAUACAGAACAUUAAACAUUCAACUCUAAUACUUGAAAGCAAGAAAUUUAUUAAAGAGUAUUUAUCUGAUGUCCUAUUAACUUACAAGGCAGAUCACCCUCCAGCUUUUCUUCCCACAGUUCAUGUUUUUUGUUGGUACUGACUGCAUGUUUUCUUGGAACCUGGAGAUAAAAAUGUCUCUGCAGAGCACUGAGAUUUCUUCACAUUUUGCAAAAGGCGUGAUGGAUCGGCUCCACACUCAUACGUGGUUUCACAUCCUUUAAGACAACGUGUCUGUGAUGAGCCUGGACGUAACCACCAACUGCAAUCUUCUAGGGUUUUCAGGAUGAAUCAUAGCUCUUCCUCUUUGGACAUGUGGCAGUCCUUCCCCUGCUCCUGGGAGGGAAAGAACACGCUCUCAGUCUCUCCCCUCCACUCCUCUUUAGAGAGAUGGGGACUCGGAGAAGAAGUGGGAUGGAACACAGGACAGUAUCUCUCUUCUUCUUCUUCUUCUUCUUCUUCCUCACUAUUCACUCUUUCGGAUUUCUUCACGCAUUCAGUGGUCGGUCCAGCUUGGCCUGUAAACUGACUCAGCAAGCUAAAGAUGACUGUCCCUGGAUUGUGGACAUGGACCGGACCUACGGAGAUUAGAACAAACAAAGAAUGCACUUAAAGGGAUGUUUUAAUUGACCCAUGGAGGUACAUUGAAAUAUAGUUCACACAGUCAAACAACUAAAAACAACUCUGAAUAAUUACAGUAACCCAGCUGCAUCUUUUACAUGUUUACGUUUUAUUUUCAUCAUGACUCCACAGAGUGAGUCAAGCAUUUCACAUGAAAGUCUUUGUUUCAGUCUUCAGUACCCAGAUUGGCUGUGGAAAGGAAGGAUGGCUGCUGCUUUGCACUGAAUGAGUCUCUGGGGAUGUGAUGAGUCGAGUCGUUUGACUUGUGAGAAGCAUCUGCUCCUCCCUAAAGAACAUGUCCGUUAGUUUGGUGCAAAAAAAAAAUAUAUAUAUAUAUAUAUGAUAGAUAGUAGCCUGGAAAUGAGCUACUUACCAGAUUGCAUAAUUUUAUAACAGCUGGAAAACAAUAGAUACAUAGAUGAAAAAUAGAAAGUCAAUUUUUUAGACAUAUCCACCAAAGAUGCAUCAACAUUCAUUUGUUUUAUAAAGAAAAUAACAAUCCAUAGAGCUAAUGAUACAUUCCUGGAAGCAUUUCAGUCAAUUGUAACGGGAUCAUAACGUUCAAGGAUGUAAACUCGCUUGACAACAUUACCUCGCUUGAAACAUGUUUCACCUCUGGUGCUACAAACGAACAAAAGCAUCCCAAGCGACGCGCAUCCCACGGCAACCAAUGGACACAAGAUGGCCACCAGGUCAUCGUUUGUCUUGUC
ensembl:lncRNA